rnacentral:lncRNA from 1 species
UGACACAGACACUGUAUACAACUUUUCUUAGUAGUGUCGUAUUCCCAGAAGUAGACACAAACAACACAGAAUCAAGUUUCCUAUGUAAUAUAUUUAAUUUUGAUGCAAAAAUAUGUAAAACAAAUGAAUGCGAUGCACCAGUAUCAAUCAAAACAUGAGCAAAAUGAUUACAGAUAGUGUACGUAUCACGUACCACGUCCGGGUCGGCUUCUGCAUCAUGCUGAGUGAGGUUGUAAGCCAUGUCCUAGAUAUGAGGUCUGGCCUAGUUCUAGUUCCUCAGGCACUACCGCAUAUGCGACAGGUGUUAUUGAGGCGAUAACAGAGUCGGUUCCCAUGAUCCUUAACACAGUGUUGACAGGUCUUACUGCGCCCUGCUGCUGGAACCUGAGAAGAGCUUGAGUCAUCAGCCUGGGUCUCUUGUUCUAUUGAACAGGAGCAGUAGAUGCUAGUCUACGGUGUGGAGCCGAGGGCCUGAGGUUCACUACUAAUGGAGAAAAUGUACGAAGGGUCCUCUCCACUAACUGUGCAUUGGCCAAGACAGCCAAAU